GAAAUGCGAUAAGUAAUGUGAAUUGCAGAAUUCAGUGAAUCAUCGAAUCUUUGAACGCACAUUGCGCCCGCCAGUAUUCUGGCGGGCAUGCCUGUCCGAGCGUCAUUUCAACCAUCAAGCCCCCGGGCUUGUGUUGGGGACCUGCGGCUGCUCGCAGGCCCUGAAAACCAGUGGCGGGCUCGCUGUCACACCGAGCGUAGUAGCAAUCACCUCGCUCAGGGCGUGCUGCGGGUUCCGGCCGUUAAACAGCCUUACAAAACCCAAGGUUGACCUCGGAUCAGGUAGGAAGACCCGCUGAACUUAAGC
rnacentral:misc_RNA from 1 species